UAUGGCCACACCAUGUUGAAACACUGGUUUUCAUAUGAUCACCAUAGUUAAGUAAUGUCAAGCCUGGUCAGUACCUAGAUGGGUGACCACUUGAGAAUACCAGAUGCUGUAA